UGAGGUGUGGAUAGGGGAGAAAUUCCAAUCGAACCCGGAGAUAGCUGGUUCUCCUCGAAAUAGCUUUAGGGCUAGCCCCGUAUUAGUUUAGCGGAGGUAGAGCACUGAAUUCCUAAGGGGGCGUCAAAGCUUACCAAGGGAUAUCAAACUCCGAAUGCCGCAUAAAUGAUGUACGGGAGUCAGACUGCACGAGAUAAGUUGGGCAGUCAAAAGGGAAAGAGCCCAGACCUACAGCUAAGGUCCCAAAGUGUGUGUUAAGUGGAAAAGGAUGUGGGAUUUCAGAGACAACUAGGAUGUUGGCUUAGAAGCAGCCACACAUUCAAAGAGUGCGUAAUAGCUCACUAGUCGAGAGGUCCUGCGCCGAAAAUGUCCGGGGCUGAAACACAACACCGAAGCUCAGGAAUGUAUUUAUACAUUGGUAGAGGAGCAUUCUUAAAGGGGCGAAGCAGUACCGAUAAGGAGCUGUGGACUUUUAAGAAGAGAGAAUGCCGGAAUGAGUAGCGAGAUGGAGGUGGGAAUCCUCCAGGCCGAAUAUCCAAGGUUUCCAGAGUAAAGCUGAUCUGCUCUGGGUAAGUCGGGGCCUAAGGUAAGGCUGAGAAGCGUAGCCGAUGGACAACAGGUUGAGAUUCCUGUACCGCGUAUCAUCAGAACUGUGGGGACACAGAAGGACAGCACAUCCCGGGAAUGGAAAGACCGGGGCAAGCAGGGUAGGAGUUAAGCUGGCAAAUCCGCUUAACAAUCCGAAGCUGUGAUGCGGAGCGAAUUUAAGUAGCGAAGUGUGCGAUUCCGGCUGUCAAGAAAAGCCGCUAUUGUGUGAUACGUGCCCGUACCGUAAACCGACACAGGUAGAUGAGGAGAGAAUCCUAAGGCCGGCGGGAGAAGCAUUGUUAAGGAACUCGGCAAAAUGACCCUGUAACUUCGGGAGAAAGGGUGCCUGGGAAACCAGGCCGCAGAGAAUAGGCUCAAGCAACUGUUUAGCAAAAACACAGGUCUAUGCAAAACCGUAAGGUGAGGUAUAUGGGCUGACGCCUGCCCGGUGCUGGAAGGUUAAGAGGAGGGGUUAGCGCAAGCGAAGCUCUGAAUUGAAGCCCCAGUAAACGGCGGCCGUAACUAUAACGGUCCUAAGGUAGCGAAAUUCCUUGUCGGGUAAGUUCC
rnacentral:rRNA from 1 species